GGUUGAUCCUGCCGGAGGCCAUUGCUAUUGGGAUUCGAUUUAGCCAUGCUAGUCGCACGAGUUCAGACUCGUGGCGAAUAGCUCAGUAACACGUGGCCAAACUACCCUUCGGAACACAAUACCCUCGGGAAACUGAGGCUAAUAGUGUAUACCACAGUUCACCUGGAAUGAGAACUGUGUCAAACGCUCCGGCGCCGAAGGAUGUGGCUGCGGCCGAUUAGGUAGACGGUGGGGUAACGGCCCACCGUGCCAAUAAUCGGUACGGGUCAUGAGAGUGAGGACCCGGAGACGGAAUCUGAGACAAGAUUCCGGGCCCUACGGGGCGCAGCAGGCGCGAAACCUUUACACUGCACGACAGUGCGAUAAGGGAAUCCCAAGUGCGUAGGCAUAGAGCCUACGCUUUUGUCCACCGUARGGAGGUGGACGAAUAAGGGCUGGGCAAGACCGGUGCCAGCCGCCGCGGUAAUACCGGCAGCCCGAGUGAUGGCCGAUCUUAUUGGGCCUAAAGCGUCCGUAGCUGGCCGCACAAGUCCAUCGGAAAAUCCACCCGCUCAACGGGUGGGCGUCCGGUGGAAACUGUGUGGCUUGGGACCGGAAGACGCGACGGGUACGUCCGGGGUAGGAGUGAAAUCCCGUAAUCCUGGACGGACCGCCGAUGGCGAAAGCACGUCGCGAGAACGGAUCCGACAGUGAGGGACGAAAGCUAGGGUCUCGAACCGGAUUAGAUACCCGGGUAGUCCUAGCCGUAAACAAUGCCUGCUAGGUGUGGCUCCCACUACGAGUGGGUGCUGUGCCGUAGGGAAGCCGCUAAGCAGGCCGCCUGGGAGGUACGUCCGCAAGGAUGAAACUUAAAGGAAUUGGCGGGGGAGCACUACAACCGGAGGAGCCUGCGGUUUAAUUGGAUUC
rnacentral:rRNA from 1 species